GCCGUGCACACGGGUGGGUCCGUGGGGUGGGCGACUUACAAAAAAAAAGAUGAGUUAGGUGGUGUGUUCAAGAAAACUGGGAAGUUUUGUGGGAAAUACGCCUUUUCAAAAGACGAUCAAAACAACCAUCAAGGGAUUCUCUUAAUUUGACAUAAUUUUGAAAAGUGAAAUUUGAAACAA